rnacentral:lncRNA from 1 species
UGCCUCCAUCUUGGAUAAUUUUUUUUCAAGAAGAUAGCAUAAUAACUUACAAUCACAUUGUGAUCCUCAGGAAGAUAGAAGUAGUAUCCCAUGGUUUCCUUAGUAUAUCCUAUAAAGCUAGCUCUAAAAGACCUAACUUCUAACUUAUCUGCCUGCUGUCGCUUGACAUAGGCUAGAUAUUUUUAAAUCUUGAGGUACCCAAGAGUCAGCGUUUUACCAUGCCAUAACUCGUAUGGAGUGAUAGGAAUGGAUUUAAAGAAAAUUCAAUUUAAAAGAUAAAUUAUAGAAAGUAGGUUAUGUCUCCAG